UACAGAGGGGGCAAGCGUUGUUCGGAAUUACUGGGCGUAAAGCGCACGUAGGCGGAUAUUUAAGUCAGGGGUGAAAUCCCAGAGCUCAACUCUGGAACUGCCUUUGAUACUGGGUAUCUCGAGUCCGAGAGAGGUGAGUGGAAUUCCGAGUGUAGAGGUGAAAUUCGUAGAUAUUCGGAGGAACACCAGUGGCGAAGGCGGCUCACUGGCUCGGUACUGACGCUGAGGUGCGAAAGCGUGGGGAGCAAACAGG
rnacentral:rRNA from 1 species